GUUGCAUCAGGAGCGAGAGCAAUUAAAUCGUUGUUCCUUCAGAAUUUCAGAGCCGACUCCAAUCGUUAAAUUCUUUGCAAUGAGCUUUGUUGGUGCUCGUCGUAAAAAGCAAAAGGUCUAAAGCUCGCUCCUGGGUGAGAACUUAAUUGAAGAUCAAGGGAAAGCGGGUGAGCGAAUUGUUCAUUGCAAGAGUGCUCGACAACAGAGAAAGGUGCUUGUCCACAAAGACGUGUGACGCGACUUUCCAUAGAUCUCGACUGUAGAGAUCAAGAUUUUGGUAAGAGCUUCUUCACCUUGAAUUUUCUCCUAAAAUCUUGUAAAAAGCCGAUGUAUUUGCUGUUGAGAUGCUUUGAGGUACCUGAAUGUUAAGCUGUCAAGAACAGAGCCAAAAAGCUGGAAGUAGUUUAGCACUAGGAAUGUACCUUUAUGUUUUCUUGUCUGUCUAGAUUUUGAUGUUCGGAACCAAGUAAUUAGAAGUUCUACUGCUAGAACAAAACUAUCAAGGCUCAGAGGACGUUCUUCAGGCUGUGUCAUUUAAGAAACGGGAAAAAAUCAUACUCAUCCAAACUCAUUCUCGAGAUCUUGAAUCUCCCAGCGGCCUUCUCACUGCCAAGACGAAAUAAUAAGUAUCCUACAACAGAUGUGCACAUACAUUGAUCUCCUUCACUCAAUGAGAAGGUAUGUUUAUUCUUUUCCUUUGGAUGUUUCUUUAAUCUUAGUUCACUUCUGUGUGUUUUAGGUGGUCAAGAUGCUUGUUUACAAGCUCCUCAAGAAAGCACUGCCCAAGUUGACUUGCCCAGGUGGAGUAUGCCUCCCCUUCUAAAGCCGAGUUGUGGAAUAUAUUAUCUUUCACACUAAAUUUUUUUUCUGGAACUGA
rnacentral:lncRNA from 1 species